UGUCCUACUGUCAGUAAACGCACCGCAGUGCGGCGGUUUUCGCUAGAGGGAUUCAUACAGCGAUUCUGAGCCUUCUUGAGCCUCAUACAACAUUUCACAAGGUUGAUGCCGUGCGGGAAUACAUAGAGCAAAACUACAACAUGACCGCCAAGGAGCCGGAGCGGGAGAUCCACGAAGACAGCCCGAGGAGGCAGCUCCUAAAGCCGGGCUUCCACGAACGUUCCACACCUCUCCCCAUCGUGGCAUCCAGCCGUCGGGAGGCUCCAGUCUAUGUGUGUGUGUGUGUGUGUGUGUGUGUGUGAAAGCUCACAUCUCAACUUCAUCACACGGCGGGAGGAGUCCGCAAAGCUCUGCCCACUCGGGAAAAACACCACGGCUGACAAGGAAGGAUCCCUCCCACACAUUCACACAGUUACACAACACCGCUUUAGACAGAUUCCCGAACGGGGCGUAAAUAGCAGUGUUUUUACUGUACAAUAUUAAACAUGUACGGUUCUUCCGGUUGGUACAGGUGCCGGCCGCUAGGUGGCAGCACUCGAUGGUGGGCGUGAGAUUUAAAUACGAGGCAGCUAUUGAUUUAUAGGACUUGCUGCCAGCUGAUUCAGCAUAAACAUAAUACAGAGGGGAUUAUUUUGUCAGUUUUUCCUGAAUAUACACGACAUGGAAUUACACUCUGAUACAAAUAAAUUGACGUAAUUCACAAAGUGCACAUAAUGUAUUUUAUUGAGGCAAACCGACAUUAACUGCACAAUUGCAUGAAAUCAAUACAACAAUACAAAAGGUGUGCAAAAAUUGCUGCCUUUGAUAUGAUUUUAUUAUUAUUUUUACUCUUUUCAUAACAUAUGUAAGAUGGCUCUAAUUAACAAGUAUCUCAAUAAAUUGUAAUGGUGAUAGUUUAAUUUCAUUUGAACAUGCAUCAGAUUACAAUUGAAUGCAUCCCAUAAUCAGUUCACAGUUCCACAUGUCCGAAAGGAGUAGGAAGAAGCAAAGCUUAUUAAAUCCUACCCCUCUAUCUGGUACUUUUACAAUCAGUAACUGAUACAUUUGUUCACUU